UGAUACUCUUUUAAAGGUGUCCUCUUUCAUCCCCACAUCCUCGCCAGGUGGCUCCUUUUUACCCAUGGAAAAAGCAAGGUGCUGAGAGGGGAGUGGACUUGUUCAGUCCCACAGGAGGAGGAGCAAACAGCCAGGCCCCCUUCCCCUGGGCAGGCCCCGUCUAGACCCUCUCGACGUGACCCAGAUGCCAUCUUAUCCUGGUAGCAUGAGUCAGCGCCCUCCAAGGCCAACUCGGUCCUACUUCAAACCUCGCACGCCCGUUGGCACAGCCCCUUGGGGCGGGGCACAGCUCUAGGCUACCUGGGAUUCUCCGCCCUGCCUGAGGGGCAGCUCCAGGCUCGAAUGAAUGGCCUGCUUCUUGCUAGCUCCGCCCCCCCGCGAACCUGGGAAGAACCGCACAGGAUAGGGGGAAUCCUGGAAGACUCCUUGGAGGAGGUGAUGUGCAAACGGAUCCUUGAGGAAGGAUGGAAAGAAACCCACCCCACAGAAUAGAAGGGGAAAGGCACGGAAGGGCAUUUGUGACCCAGAAACAGCGACCCGGCACACCCAAGCAUGAAGUGACAAUAACCGGUGCAUACUGAAUGCCUACUAUGUGCCAUUCACUCACCGAAUCACCACCACAGCCCUGUGAGGUGGGAAGACUGACUGAAGGGGCAGUCCAAAGGCCACACAGAGAGCUGAGACAAUGAGAUUGUCAUUGCACAUCAGACCAGGCGGCUUAUCCAGGCCACGGGGGAUGGUACCUAACGUUCCUUCAUUAUGUGCCAGAAGGAGCCAUUCACCAACACUCAGUCUUUGCUGAUUUCCUUUCAUCAUGGAGUCACUCAUUCAACAAAUAUUUCUCGAGCCCCUAUUGUGUGGGGAGAGCUGACCUCACACAGCCGCCCAUGGCAAAGACCAAAGACGGAUGAAUUCUGAGUCUCCCAGGCUCUUUUCUGAACCCCAAACCUUUUGACAACAGCCCUCUUCUGAACUCCCCCUGCCCCAGGUAGGACCCCUCGUGUACAGAGGCCAUAUGCCCAGUGAUGAGGAGCUCUGGCUCUGGCAGCCACAGAUGGGCUCUAAGUAGAUGCUUAAUAAACAGUGACUGUGGCCUGGCCGGCGUGGCU